rnacentral:lncRNA from 1 species
UUUUUUAUAGAGAUGGUCACUGGCCAGAAUUGGCCAGUAGGGGUAACGGAAAGGAGGACGGAGAGAUCUGAUCGUUGGCCAUAUAUGAUGGUAGCAGUUGGAAAAGGGAGAAGGGAAAGGGCAGCGCCAUGGGCUUCACCGUUGUGGCAUUGAUUCCGGCCAAAUCUGGUCGUUUGGUCGUCAGAACGGGGAGAGGGAAAGGGAGUGGUGCAGCGUUCCGGUGAAGGAAGCGACGCCGGAGAAAUCUAUCUCACCGGUGUAACGAUUUUGGGCGUGUGUGGCGGGAAAGGAAAGAGGGAGUCGAUGGUGCAAGGUAGUUUGCCGGCCUUGGGGUUUUCCGGCGAUGGAGGAGGGAUGACGGGAAAGGGGAGAGGGGAACGCCGGCUGGUAGAGGAGAGAUGGUGGUGGCCAGGUCUGGACGACAUCGGGAGAAAGAGGAAAGGGGAAUCAACGUCGGUGUGGGGUUGGUGGUUUUACCGGCGAAUUUUCGUCGGUUUUAAUGGUGGUUAUCAGCGGAUUUGGCCGAAACUCGAAAGAGAAUCAAUGGGGUUCUUUUUCCGAUGAUUUUUUGCCUAUUCAAAUUUGAUUGAUGCUUCUGGCACAUUUCCGAUGGAGUGGGUUCGCCAAAAAAGUCAAGAAAUAAAAUAUUCUUCGAUCAAUACUCUACUUUCUGAUCUCUCUAUAUAAUUACUGAUUUUUUAAUUCUCUCCGGUCUAUCUCUGGUUAACUGUGUAUGCGUGUGUGUGAUGUUUUUGUGAAAUGCAGUGAGAAUAUGUAUGUAUGAUCUGUGUACAGAAAAGUGUAUGUGUGUAUUUCGUUGUGAAAUUGUAACAGUACCUAUUUUUUACUAUAUAUUUUUUUUGUUUUAAUUUAAAA